UGGGUUUUGCUUCGGGCCUGGAUAGCUAUUCUAUCUGCAGGGAUCUGGCUGCCCAAACGUGAAGAGGCAAUGCUCAGAAAAGAAGAACGUGCAUAUGCGUGCAGGUUUGGGGAGAUGCACAUGGUACCUGCCAGGAUCCUCAAGAGAUCCACUAUUGACCUGAUCAUCAGAGGGAGCAGGUCUGGGCUCCAUCACCCCCAGCCCUGCCAGCUGGGUCCUCGGGAAAGCAAGCAAGAACACAAUGCGUUUUUGAGGUUCAUGGGGGAGCUGAGCUCUCAUCACUUCCUGUGGGCCUUCCUGAGCACAAGAUCCUCUCUCUUGCAUCAGGCAACCCAGGAGCUUCUGAUAAACUGCUCCACAAGCUUGAGCCAGAGUUAAUGUUAACCACUGACCACCACUGAGCACUUGCUGUGUGCUAAGCCUUAUCUCAUUAAACCCUCACCACAGUCCUGCAAGGUUUGCCUCUGGAAGGUGGAAUCUAGCUUACUCCUGCAGCCUGCUGAAGACCUGUGCUCCAGGGGACAGGAAUGGAUGGAGCAGGUGCAGAUGGGCCGUGGACAAAGCAAUAGCAGCAGCCGCAGCGCAGAGACAAAGUCACAUGUCAUGGGCCUUUUAGAGAGCUACCUCAACUCUCUUACAACCUUUCCUGUUCCACCUUAUCCUGCCUCAUGCUGGACAUCAGAGUGAAAAGAAAGAUAGCAGAGACCAUUCUUGAAUAAGGAAGCCAUGGGGGAGAAUGGAGCAGGGACCAAGACUGUACUUCAGAGAGGUGUGAGCCAAGGUCAUGCUUUUGGUCAGAGAAGCGUGCUCAUGUCUGGCUCCCUCCAGGAUCACUGAUGCCUCCUGGAAAUACAUAGAAGUUCUGGACCAGCCUUGGCAAUGAAGCAGUAUGGCCGGUGAUGGCAGGCAAAUCCUUCUAGUCCUAUGAACUCGGACACCCUUGUUUGUGGGAUGGAGACAAUGUUGUCCUUACCCGGUCACAAAGCGAAUCCAGGUGUGUGAGGAUCUGUGUUCUCUGUCCCUUUCUCUCUCUGAACUUUCAGUUUCUUUCUCUGUCAGGCAAUGGCCAGACUACAAUUCUCCAAAGUGCCUUCCCUCUUGGACCUUGAUGGAACUGGAAAGGGGCCUAUAGUUUUUCAGCACAGGAAAAAAAUUGAGGUGAGAGUUUAGACAAUGGCCAGUUUCUCUGACAAUUCUUUUCCUGAAUAAAAGGAAGUCCACUUCAGUUUCUAGAGCAGGCCUGCGGUUUUUUUGAUCACUGGGCUGAUAGCUUAGCUAUUUUGAAGCCCAUUAGGGAAUGUAAUAGUGUUCCCAAUUUCCACAUGUGACCUCUGGUGUUGUGAAGCAUGUCCAUUGCUGGGAACUAACCCUUGAUGGGGAUAAAUGAGUCACAAGUUAACUGAAGGGUGGGGACAGUGUUCCAUUUGUAAUUCAAUAGUUCAGUUAGAACCACCUCCAGAUAGGCCCUGUCCUCAACA